GACUCAGAGGCUGCUCCUGCAACAGAAGCAACAAUUGAAGAGAAUUCAGGGAGUGGAUAUGGGACAGAUGCACCUACAAAUGGAAACCAUCAUGGUCCCAGUAAUCCACGUACAUGCUAGGACUUCUGUAUUCACAACUUUCAUACUUUGAGCAUUUCGGAAGAGGUGGAGAAAUGCUGUGAGGCCUUUCAGCCAUAUCCAGCCUCUGUGCAGGGUAUGUCCUUCGAACAGAGUAGGGCUGUGGUACAGAGCAUUUGCGCUGUUGAUAGCAGAUUGAAUGGUUAUGAAAAGAAUGGCUUUUGCACAAAUGUAUUCUGUAGUCUUUCUUCCAUCAUGCAUAAUUAAUUAUUAAUAAUUAAAAGGCUCAAGCAUUGAAA